GUGCUAGCUUCAGCAGCACAGAUAUUAAAAUUGGAAUGAUAUAGAGAGGAUUAGCAUGGCCCCUGCACAAGAACAGCAUGCAAAUUCAUGAAGCAUUCUGUAUUUAA